rnacentral:rRNA from 1 species
AGAAUCAACGCUGGCGGCGUGCCUCAGACAUGCAAGUCGAACGCGAAAGUUUCCUUCGGGAAACAAGUAGAGUGGCGCACGGGUGAGUAACACGUAGGUAAUCUACCUUUGGAUGGGGAAUAACAACCGGAAACGGUUGCUAAUACCGCAUGAUGCAGCGGCACCUAAUGGUGACAGUUGUUAAAAGCGGGGGAUCGAAAGACCUCGCGUCUGAAGAGGAGCCUGCGGCGGAUUAGCUAGUGUAAGGUAAUGGCUUACAAGGCUACGAUCC